ensembl:lncRNA
UUUGAAGUGGAAGCUUUUAGCUAGAAUGUUUGGAACAUUUCUCAUCAAAAUGAGAAAGAAACAUUCAUGUGAGACAUUUUGCCACACGAAAUAGAUAAUUAUCUAUUUUUGUAUCUAUAGGUCUCUUUGUAUAUCUGUGUAGUUUGACAGGGGAUACUGCAGAUGACCACCCAGUGCUUAUGGUCUUCGCUGGAGACAUGGAAGUUCAUUUUGUUUCCAGACAAAUAUAACUGGGGUGCCCAGAGCUCCCGAAUGCUCAGUGAAUGACUGAUCUGGAAAUUGGUACUCAGUGAUUCGGUAUUCCUUCUCUGCUUCACUCUGGUGUGAAAUUGAAAGGGGAGGAAUUAAUAUAAAACAAUAAAAACUGUUGGCAUUUUGGGAAAUAUGGCUGGCCUUUCAAGUUUGUAAGUUCUGCAGAACACUGCCUUCCUUGCAGUAAUCAACCUUAAGACCUUCCCUCGGAGAAGUAUUUUGAAUUUAUUGCAGUCAGUCGGUACGUCUGUCAUAAAGAUAAGCACGGGAAUUAAAAUACCUAUGAGGGUUAUUAUCUGAUAAAACAUUUUUUGGUUCAAUAAACAGAAUCAGAGUUACUUUCUCUUUGUUUGUCAGCUGAUGGCAGGCUGAGGAGAUAAUGAACACCAGGAAGGAGGCUGAACUGUGAACUUUUGAAUUUAUUGCAUCAAACAAGUUUUGUUCACUAGCCUGAACCUUUCCCCUCCCCCUCAGUUGAAGGCUGGAUUGGAAUUAUUCCUGCAUGCAAGCGUGACGUUUAAGAGUACUCCUUGCAUUCAGAUGUCUGACCACUGGGCCUACCUGUGCAGAGCUACAGGAGUAGGUAUGCAUGAAGACCAGAGGCCCUAACUGGGCUUCUGAGGCCAUAUGCAGUUGCUGGGAUYGUCGUACCUGGAUAAGCUCUCCUUCUCAAUUCGUAAUGAUGUCCAACCGGCAAAUGAUGCUUGCUGUUUUCUAAAGUCAGCUGAUGCAUAUUUACAUUGGUGAAGAAGAGGACAGACUCCGCAGCGUGCAGGACUUGCUUGUGCUCUUUUGUGUGAAGGCUGAGCCCGGCUGGGACUACACCCUGUGCUCACCCCUCAGCUUUUUGUGCAGAAGCUCUGCUCAAAUCUGAAGAAGUGGCUCCUGUGACAAGUGGUACAUGAAUUUCACCAGGAACUUUCAGUGAAUUGACCGUUUCCAGUUGCCUAAAAUCUCCCAAUCUACUCUAAACUAGAUGACUGGUGGUGAAAAUAUUUACAGCUAGUAUAAGGUGAGGACAUAAGAACAAGGCUUUUCAACUGCAUUUACCAUUACUCCUACUAGUACAAGUUUAAAAAAAGGUAUAUUUACUGCCAUUCUGUACAACUUUUUGCUUGUGUUACAUAGUUCCAUAGUCCCUUUGAAGCUGCCUGUUAGUGUAUUCAUACAGCUAGAACAAUUUUAGGUGUUUUCCAUGACUUUUCAGUUGUAAAUCCUACAUCUAUAGUAUCAAAGAUGUUAAGAGUUUUUAGUAACUAAGCGCCAUUUUCCUGAACCUUGCCAGCCACACAUUUAGAAAUUUGCUUAAAAUCUAUAUGUAAAAAGUGAGCCUGCAACUGGAUAUACAAUUAGAUGGAAAAAAKGUUGUAUGUAUG